AUUGAACGCUGGCGGCAGGCCUAACACAUGCAAGUCGAACGAGUGGCGGACGGGUGAGUAAUGUCUGGGAAACUGCCUGAUGGAGGGGGAUAACUACUGGAAACGGUAGCUAAUACCGCAUACCAUCGGAUGUGCCCAGAUGGGAUUAGCUAGUAGGUGGGGUAAAGGCUCACCUAGGCGACGAUCCCUAGCUGGUCUGAGAGGAUGACCAGCCACACUGGAACAGAGACACGGUCCAGACUCCUACGGGAGGGAGCAGUGGGGAAUAUUGCACAAUGGGCGCAAGCCUGAUGCAGACAUGCCGCGUGUAUGAAGAAGGCAUUCGGGUUGUAAAGUACUUUCAGCGGGGAGGCGUUACCCGCAGAAGAAGCACCGGCUAACACCGUGCCAGCAGCCGCGGUGAUUC
rnacentral:rRNA from 1 species